rnacentral:rRNA from 1 species
UACGUAGGGCGCAAGCGUUGUCCGGAAUUAUUGGGCGUAAAGAGCUCGUAGGCGGUCUGUUACGUCCGCUGUGAAAACCCAGGGCUUAACCCUGGGCUUGCAGUGGAUACGGGCAGACUAGAGGCAGGUAGGGGAGAAUGGAAUUCCCGGUGUAGCGGUGAAAUGCGCAGAUAUCGGGAGGAACACCGGUGGCGAAGGCGGGUCUCUGGGCCGAUACUGACGCUGAGGAGCGAAAGCGUGGGGAGCGAACAGG